UGUACUUUCUUUCUGCCCUGCUUUAUUAUUCUCCAUAGGAACACACCCUGGCAUAUGGUAGGCCCUCCAUUGAUGUUUAUUGGAUGUGAAUAAAUGAAUGUGUCAUCAAGAGGAUUUGCGAUGCCCCGCUCGUCAUGGAGAUGUUAGGACUCUAAUAUCCAGUUUCAACUUUCCAACUGGCUUCUUGGAAACUUGUGGCUCCUUCUUAAAAACUGAGAAAUCCUAAGUCUAAAAAAGAAAAAAAGAAAGAGGCCAGUGCUGCUUUCAUUGCCUUUGUUCCUACCGUUUUCCAGGAGGCAAGUAAGAUCCUAGCCAAAACCAGAGGCCCAAGAGUGAGACAGCCUGGGUAAAUAUCCUGGUUUCACCCCUAAAUAGCCAUGUACCUCUGUAAAAGAUCCUUACCCCCCUGAGCCUUUAUUUCCUCAUAUGUACAAAGUAUUGGUACAUUUUUAGAUAAGGGUAAUGCUAACUGG
rnacentral:lncRNA from 10 species